rnacentral:rRNA from 1 species
GACGAACGCUGGCGGCGUGCUUAACACAUGCAAGUCGAACGGAAAGGCCCUGCUUUUGUGGGGUGCUCGAGUGGCGAACGGGUGAGUAACACGUGAGUAACCUGCCCUUGACUUUGGGAUAACUUCAGGAAACUGGGGCUAAUACCGGAUAGGAGCUCCUGCUGCAUGGUGGGGGUUGGAAAGUUUCGGCGGUUGGGGAUGGACUCGCGGCUUAUCAGCUUGUUGGUGGGGUAGUGGCUUACCAAGGCUUUGACGGGUAGCCGGCCUGAGAGGGUGACCGGCGACAAUGGGACUAAGGUACGGCGCAGACUCCUACAGGAGACAGCAGUGGGGAAUAUUGCACAAUGGGCGGAAGCCUGAUGCAGCAACGCCGCGUGCGGGAUGACGGCCUUCGGGUUGUAAACCGCUUUCGCCUGUGACGAAGCGUGAGUGACGGUAAUGGGUAAAGAAGCACCGGCUAACUACGUG